rnacentral:lncRNA from 1 species
AGGCUUCUUCUCCCUUGAUGGAACAAUGAAUUAGGGUUGAGAGGCUCUCUCCUCCAGGGGCCAGGGGGUCUGGUUUUAUAGUCCCUUCAAGUGAAUAUGGGCCCUUGGAUCAAACCGACAUAGAUUGUAUGGUUUAGAUUCAUCCUUUAGGUCGGUGGAGAUCUCCCGCAAAGCAGAGUCCUGAUUGGACUCAGGAGGUGGGCGGCCGCCCUGACCAACUGGGCGGCCGCCCAGGGUCUGGCCCCGUUUCGCCUCCGCUUCGGUCUCGUGGCUUCUGGAGUCUUCUAGAUGUAAGAUAAUUGCGCAGCACAUUAAUAUCUUUACGUAAUCCCGACAUGUGGGUCUUUCUUCCGUAUUUCCUGAUAACCCCCUACAGAAAUAGACAAACACCAAAACUCAUGGAAUUCUAUCAGAUAAAACCCUAAGUCUAGAUCUUAAUUUCAUUUGGAUCCUUUUCUUUAUUUAUUUGAUAAUUAAAUUUGAUACUUAAGGACCAUCAACAAACUCCCCCAAGCUUACCUCUUGCUCGUCCCUGAGCAAGGAUAGACUCAGCUAUGGAUCAUAAGUUGUUGCAAUAUUUUUAAAAAAUAGACGGUACACAUGCUUUUAAAUAAGAUCUCAUCUCUGAGUUAGAGUAAACUAUCAAGACUUAAAACUUACUUACUUUACUUCCACCAUGGGACUUGUAACUGUCACUUCUGUCUUGAGUGGUUAAAAGAUAGAACAGUCUAGCCAAGUGCCAUGUCUCUUAUUCUUGAUCAGCUAUAGCUCUGGGGUUUUUGCAGAUUUUCAAAUAAAACUCAGAGAUUCCUUGUAUGAUUCUCUCAUAUCUCUCUUUUGUGGUAUUUUUGGAUCCUUACCAAGGCAUUGAUGGUAUAUGCCUUCUCUCAAGAUAUGUAGUAUUUGUGGUAUAAGGCAUAGUGACAUUGCCUUCUCUCUCACCCUACUCUAAUAAGGCUUUAAUAUUUGGAGCUCAUAGGUGGGAGAUAAAGUAUACAUACUCACAAGACAUUUAUUGCAUAGUCAAACCAUGGAUCCAAAGAAACAAAUCAAUAAGCCAAAUCAAGAUGUGCAUGUGUGGCGAAUGAAUGGUGUAUGGUGAUGAUGGUGAUAACAAUGGUGAAAACAAUGGUGGUGGAAGUCUAAUUCUACUUUGCUCUUUUGAGGGGAUACAUACCUUCCUUGCUUUUGAAACUUUAUGAGGAGAAUGAGAUGCUCUUCUUUUUCUUGUCUCUCAGGUGGGUAUCUUGCACCCCUAAUUCUACUGUUGGACACUUGUCCAUUUUUACCUCUCGUCUCACUCUUUCUUUUCUUUCGAGGUUCCGAGCACUUGCUCCUUUUUAUUUCCUCGUAUUAUUUUUUUUAUUUUCUUCUUUUUUUUAGAGCACUCAUCUCUUGAGAUAAUAUAGCAAGUGGUAGUAACAAGAUAACUUGAGCAUUUAUUUCACAAGGGGAAACAAAAAUAUUUUUGGUUAUUCUCUCCCGGAUUAGGAGCAGAAUAUUUUUGGGUGAUUCUGGAGAUGGAAAUGGAUGGAUAUAUGUGGAUGGUACUUCUGGAGUAGAAGUAGCAUAUAUGAGUGAACGUGCAAGUGAAAUCUUGAUUUAACCACAUGACAAGCUCCUAAGGGUCUACACAGCUUGACCACACUCAAUGCUCAUAAGCAGUAAAUAAUAAAUGUGUGGCUCAAAGUCUAGCAAGCAUGUAUAUAUGGCUGUGGUAGGAAAUUAAGCUCUCAUCAUACAGGAACUCAUCAUGCAAUAUUUUAAAGAUUUUCAAAGAUAAAAUUCUCCAGAAUUCUAGCAUCUCUAGGAACAGAUAAACAGCAGCUCAACCUUCCCAUAUCGUAUCCGUUAACAACUUAGACUUUAGAUCAAGUUUUCAUCCCACAAGUUUAGGUCUAGGGCAAGCUUUAAAUUAUAACAGUUAUAUCUAAACUUGAGAGAGAACUUAGAAUGUGCAAAUUAGGCAGAGCAACUAUUCAUCAUAUCCAUGCUUAAGUUUUUGUUUAGAUACAGAUUAGCAUAGCCACUUUAUUUAUUUGUUAAACACACUAAGCAAAAGACAUAUAUAAGCAUAAAAUAUUUAUUUGGUUUUCCCAUAGUUUAUGUGUAUUUUAAUAUUCUAAAAUAAUAUAAGUAUAAAGAUAGAUAGAUAUACUUAUCGGGAUAAAUGGGAGUGCUCUCCCCCAAGCUGAAUUUUGACGUAAUUUCUCUUGAUGUAGCUAGCAGGUGGUAGAGGUGUAUUUGAAAGUCAGCAGCAUUCUGACAGUGAUUAGAUUGUCCUCCGUCUGUGAGUCUUCUUGAUUCUUAAAUUCUGUGGAGCUCAAAUAGACAACAUAGCUUGUGGAACUGAUUAAGUGUUAGCAUAAAUAUCUUGCCUUUAUCAUGUUGAGACUCCUUAAUAAUUGUUACUCCCUGUUUUUAUAUUUUUAUUUUUAUAAAGCAGAAAAAAUAUUUAUUUUUGUUUUUAUGCCACCACAGUGAAUGUACUUAUGGGUUUUAUGCCACUCGUAUACUCACAUGGGGCUUACUGUUUUUCAUAUAUAUUUUUUAUUUUCUUUUUAGAAUAGCACGAACAUGAUUAACUAAGUAAACUAGUUGGAAUAAUUUGAAAGUGAAAAGAUAACUACCAAGUUUACCUCUUGGCAAGGCGUUCGGUGUUUUUAAGUCCUCCGAACGGGACUCUCCAUUUUCUUAAUUAUCCUGAGGUUCGUUGGGUGGCGAAGCCGGUACUUCCGGUAGCGCCUCCUCUUCAUGUAUAGUUAUCUUCAUUUUCCAUACCUGACUCGGUGCUUCAAUCUCCUCUGGAUAAUUCUGUUUAAACUCUACGUCUUCUGACCUUACAACUUCUCCUUCAUAGUCUGCCCAUCCGUCCUUGAUGAUCUGCCUCCUCUAGUUGCGGUUGCGUCUCUUUCUGACCUGCUUAGAUUCUUCAAUGAUAUAGUUAGGGUCAGUAAAAUAACGGCGUACCUUCUCUGAGGGGAAGUGCAUAUGGACUUCUCCGGUUCCAAUGUAGAUAAUUGCUUUAACGGUGCUGAGGAGGGGUCUUCCAAGGAUGAUGGGUGGAUCGUACUCGUCUUCUCCCAUGUCAAUAACUUGAAAGUCUGUGUAGACAAAGUGGUCGUCUAUUUUGACUGGGACAUCAGAUACUAUUCCUUGAACUUCUCGAAAUGUCUGAUCUGCCAUCUGCAGCUGAAUGUAUGUUGGUCUUAGUGGCAUGGUCCCGAACAAGAGCCGAUAAGUGACUGCGGCCAUUAUGUUGACGCCCGAUCCGGUGUCGCAAAUCGUCUUGUAGAAGUUAUAUCCAUUUAUGGAGCAGUAGAUGCUUGGCAUUCCUGGGUCGUCCUUCUUGGUCAAAAACGGUGACUUAAGUUGGUGAUCUUGGCCUCCAUGGACUACAGUGACCAUCUUAGCUGACUCGGUCCACACUUGCUUGUUCCUGUUCCUCCUGUUGGUCCUCUUCCCUGAUUCACGUCUGGAUUGAUCUGGAAUUUGUGUAGUCUUGUUCUUGAAGAAAAAUGUCUCCUUCUUCCCUUUGACGUAGAAACUGAUCUUGGCAGCACUGGCGUAGAUGAUAGCUCCGGUGGUGUUCAAAAAUGGCCUUCCUAGGAUGAUAGGUGCUCUCUCAUCAUUUUCGGUCUCAACCACUACAAAGUCUGCUGGGGUAUAUAAAGUACCAACUCGGACACAAAGGUUCCUCACUAUUCCUUUUGGAAAAGUUAUCGUCUGAUCUGCAAACUGCAAACACAUGGUUGUUUCUAAUAAAGGAUAUGUAAAGAAUUUCUCAUAGAGUACCCUGGGUAUAAUGUUGACGCUAGAGCCAAAGUCACAGAGUGCUUCUGGAACGUCCACCAUGCCGAUGGAGAUCGGGAUGACGGGGCAUCCUGGAUCGUCUCUCUUGACCGGCAGACGGUCAGUAGAGAAUUCAGUGAUGGGGUUACUCCAAUUACCUGCAUCGAACAUGUCUACAAGAUUUGCAGUUUCUAAUCCUUCCGGUUGUGAUGGUAUACCGGGGUUAGUAGUAGGAACAGCAGCAGCUAUUUGAUUUAACUGGGAUUCAAUCAUUUUAUUAAAGCUAAUUUGAUUCUUGAUGACAGUAGAGAAAUUAUCCAUUCUAUUAUUUAUAUUUUCUAGCAUUUUAUCAUUAGACGCCAAUUUCUUAGAUAGAUUAUCCAUUAGCUUUCCUUGAUUAGACACUAACUCUCUCAAAGGUGGAAAAUUAUUAUUAUUGUUGUAAGAAUUGUUACCUUGAUAAUUACCUGAGUAGUUAGGCCUCUGUUGAUUCCAACCUUGAUUUCGUUGAGGACGGUUGUAGUUGUUGUUGUUGUUGAUGAUGUAGUUCACAUCCUCAAGCAUCUCCGGGCAGUGGUUGCCUGAGUGUCCAGUGUCUCCACACUCCUCACAAGUCAUGUGAGAGUCGUAGAUGUGCAUAACUUCUUUCUUGUCUCCAGCUCUAUCGUCGAGCUUCUUCAUGAGCAGGUCUAGCUUUGCAGACAGCAUGUCUACCUCCUUCAGCUGAUGCAUACCCCCACCUCUCUUGCGUGUCUGGGUCCUCUCUUCAUUCCAGCUUUGGUUGGAUGCCAUCUUCUCCACAAGAGCUGUGGCUUGUGGUAUAGUAAGUGAUAAGAAUGCUCCUCCAGCUGCAGCAUCCAUGGUCUAUCGGGCACUGUUGCUGAGCCCAUGAUAGAAUGUCUGCAUCAGUAGCCAACUCUCCAUUCCAUGAUGGGGACAUUCUAGGAUGUAGUCUUGAAAGCGCUCCCAUGCUUCUGGAACAGAUUCAUCAUUUUGUUGCUGAAAACUUGUAAUCUUCCCACGGAGAGCAUUGGUCUUGCCCAUGGGAAAGAACUUAGCCAGGAAGUUUGUUGAGCAGAGUGCCCACGUAGUAUUCUUCUCCUUUGUAGCGUCGAACCACUGCUUCGCUCUUCCUAACAGUGAGAAUGGGAAGAGGCGAAGUAGUAUAGCGUCUUUAGAAACUCCUGCUAUGGUGAAUGUGUUGCAAAUCUCUAGGAAGUGUUGUAAAUGAGCACUAGCGUCUUCGUGUGCCUUCCCACAGAACUGGUUGGAUUGCACCAUGUUGAUAAGUCCAGGCUUGAGCUCAAAGUUGCCAUCGAUCUCUGCAGCAGGUCCAGUGUGGAUGUUGUCCGUAUUGGGAGCUGAGAACUCGCGGAUUGAUUUGUUCGCCAUGGCCUCGAACUCUGAAUACAAGUUCCGGUGAUCUUCUUGAUUGGAUGAAGCUUCUUCGUGAAGUGUUGAUGAUUUCUUUAGCUUGGCUCUCGUCUUCUUGAAUAAUGCUAUAGGAUUGUCAACAAAAUUUCUUGGAAGAUGUCUUCUAUUCAUACAUUCCCCUGCAUAAGAUAAAAUAGAAAAAAAUAUCGGGGUAAAACUGUAUGAGAGAAUAGAUAAGCUCAAUCAUAUUAGUGAUGCGAAUGAUAACUCAAAAUCUUUUUAUUCCAUUCUUGAUUAGUAAUCAACCUUCCCCGGCAACAGCGCCAAAAAUGCUUGUUGGGCAUUCUUAACAUCUUUACUAAAAGUAGACUAAGUUCUAAAUCUAGCAACGGUGCCAAAAAUGCCAAACCUAUCCCUCACACCACUUAAGCCAAGUUGUCAUCCCCAGCAUGAUAUAAGAGACGCGGUAUUGAAAUAUGCAAUUGCUCUUCUAAAUAAAUAAUGAAUUGGAUCUGCAAGCGCACAGAUUAAUACCGAUGUAGCAUUUUAACCGGGAAGUAUUCCAGGUAACGUUAUUUAUAUUUUUACCACUGGGAAGGGAUUAGCAAUCAUCACUAAUCAUUACAGAAUAGAAUAUGAGAUUGAGCAUCUAUCAUUGCAUGUAUAAUUGAGAACAUUAUAUCUAACUCUUCAUACAGGGAUAAGUGUCACAUAAAAGAUAUAUGAAAUAAUAAUAGUGACAAGGAUAACUAAUCUGAUCUAGCCACAUAAUAAUUAUGAUAAGCACCUCAAUUAGAUACUCUAGAAAGUCAUUAGCAUGGUAUUAGAACGAACUACAAGAAUAUUCCCUAAGUUAUUCUCAACUAUAUAGUCUAGCAUAUCAUAGUUAGUGCAAGCAUACUUAGCAAUCAUUGCGAGACAAGACUACACCCAUGCAUAGUGAUAUUAGCAAGGAAUAUGAGAAACAUAGCAAUCACUCCCCUGUAAUAAUGUUGCUCUGCCAGCCCAAUACACGAGAGGGGGACUAUAUAAGAAUCAAUGAAGCUGUCACUAUCACGAACCACCCCACGAUCUGGCAUAUUGGAUACAAUCGCAGAUAAAUACGGUAUAAGCACCACGCCUACACAAUAUCUAUCAUUUACCCAUGGAUCCGAUGGAUAAACGCUAUACGAUCCUAAGCAUGUAUAUAGAUCCAAUCUAACUAAGCCAAGUACAUAACUAUGAUAAACUAAGAACAAUAUAAUCUUGAAUAUAAGCAAGUAGAGCAAAGUCAUAAGCAAUAUAUUGAAGUAGAACAAAGUCAUAUUCAUAAUAUUGAAGAGCAAAGAUAAUUAGAAAGCAAUUAGAAGCACAAUUAGAGAAUUACCAAGAAUCCUCCUAACAGAUCCGGAAACCAAUCGAAGAUUGACUCCUUCUAGUUCUAAUCCUAAGUAGCUAUGCUAAUCUAGAUAUCUAAUUGAUGUGGUGGCUCUAAUCUUGAUCAGAGGCUUCUUCUCCCUUGAUGGAACAAUGAAUUAGGGUUGAGAGGCUCUCUCCUCCAGGGGCCAGGGGGUCUGGUUUUAUAGUCCCUUCAAGUAAAUAUGGGCCCUUGGAUCAAACCGACAUAGAUUGUAUGGUUUAGAUUCAUCCUUUAGGUCGGUGGAGAUCUCCCGCAAAGCAGAGUCCUGAUUGGACUCAGGAGGUGGGCGGGCGCCCUGACCAACUGGGCGGCCGCCCAGGGUCUGGCCCCGUUUCGCCUCCACUUCGGUCUCGUGGCUUCUGGAGUCUUCUAGAUGUAAGAUAAUUGCGCAGCACAUUAAUAUCUUUACGUAAUCCCGACAUGUGGGCCUUUCUUCCGUAUUUCCUGAUAACCCCCUACAGAAAUAGACAAACACCAAAACUCGUGGAAUUCUAUCAGAUAAAACCCUAAGUCUAGAUCUUAAUUUCAUUUGGAUCCUUUUCUUUAUUUAUUUGAUAAUUAAAUUUGACACUUAAGGACCAUCAACAAACUCCCCCAAGCUUACCUCUUGCUCGUCCCUGAGCAAGGAUAGACUCAGCUAUGGAUCAUAAGUUGUUGCAAUAUUUUUAAAAAAUAGACGGUACAUAUGCUUUUAAAUAAGAUCUCAUCUCUGAGUUAGAGUAAACUAUCAAGACUUAAAACUUACUUACUUUACCUCCACCAUGGGACUUGUAACUGUCACUUCUGUCUUGAGUGGUUAAAAGAUAGAACAGUCUAGCCAAGUGCCAUGUCUCUUAUUCUUGAUCAGCUAUAGCUCUGGGGUUUUUGCAGAUUUUCAAAUAAAACUCAGAGAUUCCUUGUAUGAUUCUCUCAUAUCUCUCUUUUGUGGUAUUUUUGGAUCCUUACCAAGGCAUUGAUGGUAUAUGCCUUCUCUCAAGAUAUGUAGUAUUUGUGGUAUAAGGCAUAGUGACAUUGCCUUCUCUCUCACCCUACUCUAAUAAGGCUUUAAUAUUUGGAGCUCAUAGGUGGGAGAUAAAGUAUACAUACUCACAAGACAUUUAUUGCAUAGUCAAACCAUGGAUCCAAAGAAACAAAUCAAUAAGCCAAAUCAAGAUGUGCAUGUGUGGCGAAUGAAUGGUGUAUGGUGAUGAUGGUGAUAACAAUGGUGAAAACAAUGGUGGUGGAAGUCUAAUUCUACUUUGCUCUUUUGAGGGGAUACAUACCUUCCUUGCUUUUGAAACUUUAUGAGGAGAAUGAGAUGCUCUUCUUUUUCUUGUCUCUCAGGUGGGUAUCUUGCACCCCUAAUUCUACUGUCGGACACUUGUCCAUUUUUACCUCUCGUCUCACUCUUUCUUUUCUUUCGAGGUUCCGAGCACUUGCUCCUUUUUAUUUCCUCGUAUUAUUUUUUUUAUUUUCUUCUUUUUUUUAGAGCACUCGUCUCUUGAGAUAAUAUAGAAAGUGGUAGUAACAAGAUAACUUGAGCAUUUAUUUCACAAGGGGAAACAAAAAUAUUUUUGGUUAUUCUCUCCCGGAUUAGGAGCAGAAUAUUUUUGGGUGAUUCUGGAGAUGGAAAUGGAUGGAUAUAUGUGGAUGGUACUUCUGGAGUAGAAGUAGCAUAUAUGAGUGAACGUGCAAGUGAAAUCUUGAUUUAACCACAUGACAAGCUCCUAAGGGUCUACACAGCUUGACCACACUCAAUGCUCAUAAGCAGUAAAUAAUAAAUGUGUGGCUCAAAGUCUAGCAAGCAUGUAUAUAUGGCUGUGGUAGGAAUUUAAGCUCUCAUCAUACAGGAACUCAACAUGCAACAUUUUAAAGAUUUUUAAAGAUAAAAUUCUCCAGAAUUCUAGCAUCUCUAGGAACAGAUAAACAGCAGCUCAACCUUCCCAUAUCGUAUCCGUUAACAACUUAGACUUCAGAUCAAGUUUUCAUCCCACAAGUUUAGGUCUAGGGCAAGCUUUAAAUUAUAACAGUUAUAUCUAAACUUGAGAGAGAACUUAGAAUGUGCAAAUUAGGCAGAGCAACUAUUCAUCAUAUCCAUGCUUAAGUUUUUGUUUAGAUACAGAUUAGCAUAGCCACUUUAUUUAUUUGUUAAACACACUAAAAAAAAGACAUAUAUAAGCAUAAAAUCUUUAUUUGGUUUUCCCAUAGUUUAUGUGUAUUUUAAUAUUCUAAAAUAAUAUAAGUAUAAAGAUAGAUAGAUAGAUAGAUAUACUUAUCGGGAUAAAUGGGGGUGCUCUCCCCCAAGCUGAAUUUUGACGUAAUUUCUCUUGAUGUAGCUAGCAGGUGGCAGAGGUGUAUUUGAAAGUCAGCAGCAUUCUGACAGCGAUUAGAAUGUCCUCCGUCUGCGAGUCUUCUUGAUUCUUAAAUUCUGUGGAGCUCAAAUAGACAACAUAGCUUGUGGAACUGAUUAAGUGUUAGCAUAAAUAUCUAGCCUUUAUCAUGUUGAGACUCCUUAAUAAUUGUUACUCCCUGUUUUUAUAUUUUUGUUUUUAUAAAGCAGAAAAAAUAUUUAUUUUUGUUUUUAUGCCACCACAGUGAAUGUACUUAUGGGUUUUAUGCCACUCGUAUACUCACAUGGGGCUUACUGUUUUUCAUAUAUUUUUUUUUAUUUUCUUUUUAGAAUAGCACGAACAUGAUUAACUAAGUAAACUAGUUGGAAUAAUUUGAAAGGAAAAAGAUAACUACCAAGUUUACCUCUUGGCAAGGCGUUCGGUGUUUUUAAGUCCUCCGAACGGGACUCUCCAUUUUUUUAAUUGUCCUGAGGUUCGUUGGGUGGCGAAGCCGGUACUUCCGGUAGCGCCUCCUCUUCAUGUAUAGUUAUCAUCAUUUUCCAUACCUGACUCGAUGCUUCAAUCUCCUCUGGAUAAUUCUGUUUAAACUCUACGUCUUCUGACCUUACAACUUCUCCUUCAUAGUCUGCCCAUCCGUCCUUGAUGAUCUGCCUCCUCUGGUUGCGGUUGCGUCUCUUUCUGACCUGCUUAGAUUCUUCAAUGAUAUAGUUAGGGUCAGUAAAAUAACGGCGUACCUUCUCUGAGGGGAAGUGCAUAUGGACUUCUCCGGUUCCAAUGUAGAUAAUUGCUUUAACGGUGCUGAGGAGGGGUCUUCCAAGGAUGAUGGGUGGAUCGUACUCGUCUUCUCCCAUGUCAAUAACUUGAAAGUCUGUGUAGACAAAGUGAUCGUCUAUUUUGACUGGGACAUCAGAUACUAUUCCUUGAACUUCUCGAAAUGUCUGAUCUACCAUCUGGAGCUGAAUGUAUGUUGGUCUUAGUGGCAUGGUCCUGAACAAGAGCCGAUAAAUGACUGCGGCCAUUAUGUUGACGCCCGAUCCGGUGUCGCAAAUCGUCUUGUAGAAGUUAUAUCCAUUUAUGGAGCAGUAGAUGCUUGGCAUUCCUGGGUCGUCCUUCUUGGUCAAAAACGGUGACUUAAGUUGGUGAUCUUGGCCUCCAUGGACUACAGUGACCAUCUUAGCUGACUCGGUCCACACUUGCUUGUUCCUGUUCCUCCUGUUGGUCCUCUUCCCUGAUUCACGUCCGGAUUGACCUGGAAUUUGUGUAGUCUUGUUCAUGAAGAAAAAUGUCUCCUUCUUCCCUUUGACGUAGAAACUGAUCUUGGCAGCACUGGCGUAGAUGAUAGCUCCCGUGGUGUUCAAAAAUGGCCUUCCUAGGAUGAUAGGUGCUCUCUCAUCAUUUUCGGUCUCAACCACUACAAAGUCUGCUGGGGUAUAUAAAGUACCAACUUGGACACAAAGGUUCCUCACUAUUCCUUUUGGAAAAGUUAUCGUCUGAUCUACAAACUGCAAACACAUGGUUGUUUCUAAUAAAGGAUAUGUAAAGAAUUUCUCAUAGAGUACCCUGGGUAUAAUGUUGACGCUAGAGCCAAAGUCACAGAGUGCUUCUGGAACGUCCACCAUGCCGAUGGAGAUCGGGAUGACGGGGCGUCCUGGAUCGCCUCUCUUGACUGGCAGAC